rnacentral:rRNA from 1 species
UACGUAGGGUGCAAGCGUUGUCCGGAAUUAUUGGGCGUAAAGAGCUCGUAGGCGGUCUGUCGCGUCGGCUGUGAAAACCCGAGGCUCAACCUCGGGCCUGCAGUCGAUACAGGCAAACUGGAGUGUGGUAGGGGAGACUGGAAUUCCUGGUGUAGCGGUGAAAUGCGCAGAUAUCAGGAGGAACACCGAUGGCGAAGGCAGGUCUCUGGGCCAUAACUGACGCUGAGAAGCGAAAGCAUGGGGAGCGAACAGG